CUCGUUAGAGCCACCUCCAGCGGAACUUAUUUUGUAGGCCCUUCUUCUCCAACAUCGAGCGGAGCCCAGCAUCACUUUUCUUCGAUCAACCUCAUCGCCCUCAGUCUCGGCCUUGACUGUGUGCACAUUCUCCGAUGACAGCACAUCAUCUUUCAGCACUCCCGCCACCUUCUAAUAGGCACGGCUCCUAGUCGACUCCAGGUCGACUACUAACUACCCACCGG
rnacentral:lncRNA from 1 species